GAAGGAUGAAGUGGUACAAGGUCAGGAACCCCUUUUCAUGGCAAUCAAUCACUGAGUCACAGAAGGGUUCAGACAGAUGGGAAACCAACAAGACCACCCCCUGAAGCAGGAAGAGAGGUUGGUCAGACACACACUGCCCCAUGGAAGAGACCCACAGGAAACACUGAUGGACUGAAUUAUGUACCCAUUAUGGCUCUGAAUGAGACACUUGUGGAGUGAAUCUGUGGAUUAAUGUGCCUACUUAAUUGCAGUUGUAACAAAUCAUUGAUCAAAUUUGUGGAACUAGCUGAUCCCUUUUUGCUCCUCCUAGUAUGCUCUCCACAAGAGUGACCAGGUAAGGGGCUCCUGAUCCACAUAUGAAUACAAGGGAAGCCCCACCCCCUGGAAUGAAGAAAACGGAGGGCCUCUUUCUCCUAUUCUGUGGGUCUUCUAGAAUAUCCAAGAUGCAUUAAGGAUUGGAAAGGUGCCCUCUUUUCAGAAACUCCAGCCAAAGAGCACAGAGCAAAGCAGAUGUCUAUGCCCGCUUUCCUUCAAGGAAAGGCUUGAAACACACUUCACAAGACUCUUCCAUCAUCUCUCAUUUAGAGAGCCUGUGUCCCCAAUGCUGUAUCUUUGCCCCCUCUACCUGGAAUGCUCUCCUGUUGCCACCACAUUUCUGCUUGUAGACAUUUAACCCAUCCUUCACAGCCUGAUAAAGGCAUCUGCUCAAAGGAGUAGUCUCAGAUCUACAUGGUCAGAAUCACACUCUGUCCCCACCGGCCCCAUAAUCAGGUGCUUAUGCUGUCCAUAGAUGGGUUGUUCAUACAUCCCAGUUUCCUUGGGACCGUCCUGCUUUAUGCCUGUCAUGCCAGGAUUCAUUAAUAGCAUCUUUUCACCUUCAAAACUGUCUCAAUUGAACGAUAGACGGUAUGGUGUGGUGGACACACCCUCUGGUGACCCCCAUUGGGUCAUAUCUUUUUCUGACCCCUUCCCUUGAAUGCAGGAAGAACUGGUGACUUGCUUCUGGCCAAUAGAAUGUGGCCAAGGUGACAAGAUAGCCAUCCUUUGGUUGUGUCACUUUUUAUAAGACUCUGUCUUCGUGACUAAAGAGAGUGGGUCCCCUGCAGGCCUUGAAGAAACGAGCUGCUAUGAUGUGAACUGCCUGAGGGAAGGGCCUUAGGAACUGUGGGCAGGAACCAUGGGCAGCCUCUACCUGCUGAAGGCCUUGGUCUUCUGGAUGUAAGGAACUGAAUUCUGCCAGCAGUCACAUGGCCAGAGGAGGACCCCAAGCUCCAGCGAGGAAAAUUGCGAUUCCUCAAUGACAGUCUCUGAGCCCUGAGCAGAGGACCCACGUUAGCUGUGCCUGGACUCCUGACCCACAGACACUGUGAGGUAUCUGAAAUGCCUGCCCUUUUCUCCAUGCCCAAAAGAGUGCAGAACUCAGAAGUUCUUCAUGGAUGCCUUCCAGAUAUGCUACUUGAAACCACUGAUGGGAAGACCGAGACUCGAGAGGCAAAAGUGCUUGCCCCAGGUCUCCCAGCUGGUACAUACAGAUCCCCAAAGUUUUUCGCCCUAUUCCAAACUGCCUCUUCUCCCCUUGGGAUCCAGCCCUUUACAAGGCACCAGUGACUGGUAAAGUCUAGCGGAAAUCAUGCAGGAUUCAGUGGCCAAGCCCUUGAACCUUGGGAAAGUCACUCAGAGAUUUUUUUUGCAUCUUGACAUCCAAAUUGGCAAAAAGGAAAGAAAUCGAUUUGACCUUAGAGGUUUGGAUUUUGUAAGGCGUAACUGUGAGAACAAUUACUUAAUUGUAAUAGUUAACAAUGGUAAUUGUCCAGGAGUAUAGGCUCAAAACAAAUUAGUUCCUUAAUGAGGCAUUUGUUAGCUUGUUCUGAGAUGACAUAAUGCCUUAACUCUAAUGAAGAUACAGAAAAAAGGAUUUUAAAAACGGUGCUUAAUGUAUAACUCGGUGUUCUAUCUCUUCUUCCGUGUGACGUGUGGGUAUACUCUCUCUGUCCCCAUCCUGAGCUCCAGCCUGUGCCUGAAGGCAGAAACCAGAAGUGUGUCCUUGUCUCCCAUCCUGAAAACAGAAUAGUUUGGUACAUUUGGAAGUGCGUUGUGUGCUAGGAGAGCACUUCCAAAAGCAAGUCUCUAAUGCAGAGUGGAGUUUACCUCCCAAACGAUUCCAGUGAGUAAGCCUUGUUGAUGCUUGACUACUG